AAAAAAUAAACGCUUUUAUGAAAUUAAUAUUUUGCAAUCAUACCCAAGAACCAAAUAAAAAGUAAAAGGUUUUUUUACUUCCCUUUUUUGCAUAACAGAUUUUAGUUAUUAAAAGUCAAUUCCCCAAGGCCUACAAGAACUGUUAAAUUUUUAUGAGUGAAUAUAUCAGGGAUUGAAAAGUAAUAUAUUGGCAUUCUGCUUUCAUGCUAAGUUUUACUGAAAUAUUGAGUACCAACUAAGUUUUUCAAGGCAACUAAGAUUCAUAUACUCUUAUUCAAACUAUUUGUUUUAAACAUCAGUAAUGUAAUAUGAAGUCUUAUACAAUUAUCUUCAACUGUAUUAUGUUAAAUGUAUCAAACUGUAUUAUGUUAGAGUCUAAAAAUUUCUAAAUUAGAUUUUUCACCCAUGUAUUCAGAAAAUUGUUUUUUCUUCAUUUGUUUUUUAUUAUUACAUGUAAAUGGUGGCACUUUAGAUCUCAUAGUGGUAGCUCGUUAGGUAAAGUUUUUGAAAUGAUACUUCAAAUCAUAUUAUUAACAACUUCCUAGAUUAUCUGGAAUUAUCUCUGGUUGGUUACAAUGAGAAAGCAUUCUGCUUGGAAUGGCAAUUUGCCAAGUUUUGUUCUGAAGCUUCAGAGUUCGAUCAUAGAAUUUAGCGUGUGUUUUGCCAGGUUGUAUGCAUCAUGGAUGCAGAGUAAAUAAGUUACACUGAAAAUUUUUUAUGAAAAAGAUAAGCGCAUGCAAAAGCAAUGCAUAUUAUUGCUUAUUUAUUUUGUAAUUUUGAAUAAGGAAGAUAUGAAUACAUAAGAAGGGAUUUUUUGCAAGUAGCUUCAUCAAGGGGUGAAAGCUCAAGUAAUUGGGACAAUCCCACUGAAGUUGCCUGAGGGAACUAGAGUUGGUAAACUGGUGAUAAAAACAAUGCUUUUUAACAUAGAGAUAGUUCAAAAUUCAUAAUAAACCAUAUGUAUUAUCUUUUGUUACAACUCGUGUUAAAUAAUUGAAUAAAACUUACAAUUCUCUUAACAGUCUUUAUUUUAUUUAUUUAUUUUUUUGUUGUUGCUUUUUUUAUUAUAUUUAUUUAUUUUCUUUUAAAAAAAUUGAUGAGGGAAGCUGUUACAAUUAAUUUUUAUUAGUUGGAUGUGUUCAUGUAUUUUCACUUCACAUUAUUUGAAUCUAAAAUUUUCAACAUUUUAAUGAAGUUUUAUUUAUGCAGCAUAUAGGCUAAGAAGAGUUUUGAAAACUACCAACGGUAAAUAAAAAUGUAAAAUGACCUUUGAAAUGCUUAUUAAUGAGCCAAUUUCACUUUAGAAAUGUUUAGCAAAAACGUGGUAAGUAACACACAUCCACUUAUAAAGAUCUUUAUUACCAUUUUUGGAAGUAUAUUAAAAAAAAUGUUAUUAGCAAAAGAGGCACAUCAACAUGUCUCCAAGAUAAGCACAACAAAACAUAUGUCUUCUAUUUUUAAACAAGUUAAAAGUAUAUUCUUCAUUUUAUAGUAGUACUAUUUAUGCAUUUCUUUAUUUUCAAUCUUGUAUAUAUAUACAUAACUAUGUUUUUCCUUUUCUUUCAGUUUUUAAAGUUCCGCCCAAAAGAAAAAGAAUACGCAGUAAAAAUCGUAACAAAGUGCAUUCCUGUCUUUUCUGUGACUAUGUGACAAUGCAUAUUACAAACUUGAAACACCAUAUUCGCACUCAUACCGGAGAAAAACCAUUUGUGUGCCAGAUUUGUUUUAGGUGCUUCAUGCGGAAAGAACAUUUAAAGAAUCACAUUGUGAAGUCCCACGUUCCUGUUGCUAAAGCUUGAAACAUGUAACAUUUAUUGAAGUGAUGCUUUAUUGAAUAAUAAUGUUUUAGAUUUUGUUUUUAAUCUACUUAUCUAAAUCAUCAACGUAUAUAUUAAUUUUCAGCAUUUUUAAACAAUUUUUUAAGCGUGAAUUAAUAAAAUAGGAUUUCAUAUUGAACUUGCAUUAAUAGUAGCAAUUUAUGAAGUUGUGGUAAUGUGGCAUGAUUACCUACUAAUUUUCACUUUAUUUUGUUCAACAAAAUUUGAAAUUUUACUUUAGAAAGUGACAAAAAAAACUUGAAUGAUUGUUGAAACUGAAUAGUUUUAUUGUAUACUCAAUAUGGAAAAUGGUAUGUUUCCUUGGUCAAAAAACUUCUUUGAAAACCAAAAAUGGAUCCGUUCAGCAAGAUUCAUUCUCUUGCCCAUACAGCUAAAAGUACUCAAUUUUGCAAGACACAUUUUUCAGACUGAAUGGCCACCUAAUUCUCCAGCCUUGUAUCCAAUGGACUUUACUAUUUGGUGUAUCUCUGAGAUAAAUGCUUACCUCAUAAGAGUUUGCUGGCCAUGCAAAAGCUUUUUGCAAGGAAUAGAACAAAUCAUAAAAUAUUUUUCUGCCCCUGCUGAAAGUUAUCUUGGUAGAAAAAUACAUCAUUGCCCUUACUGCAACUAUUCUACACUUCAUAAAGGUCACAUGGAAAAUCACAUUCGAAGUCACACGGGAGAAAAACUGUACCCAUGCACCAUAUGUGGCAAAUCCUUUGCACAAAAAAGCCAUCAAAGGAGGCAUGAAGUAAAUUGCAAAAGGAAGCAAAUUUAUGUCUAACAAAAAACAAUGUCUUAGACUUGAAAUUAAGGAGUUCAUCCUUUACUUGUUUUUAAAGAAUUUAGAGAUGACUGUUAUGGCUUUCUUGGUCUCAAGAGUGUGAAGGAACUUUUUUGUACUUAUUGUAACUAUAAGACUGUUUAUGCUACCAAUUUAAAAAACCAUAUUCGCACUCACACUGGAGAAAAACCUUAUAUGUGUAAAAUUUGUGGAAAACGUUUUAUGCGUAAAGAUUAUUUAAAUGGUCAUUUAUUCAGAAAGCACAGACAGGAAGCAGCAUUUUGAAUAUCUUUUAAUAACUCU
rnacentral:misc_RNA from 1 species